rnacentral:rRNA from 1 species
AUUGAACGCUGGCGGAAUGCUUUACACAUGCAAGUCGAGCGGCAGCACGGGGGCAACCCUGGUGGCGAGCGGCGAACGGGUGAGUAAUACAUCGGAACAUGCCCAGUCGUGGGGGAUAACACUUCGAAAGAAGUGCUAAUACCGCAUACGUCCUGAGGGAGAAAGCGGGGGAUCUUCGGACCUCGCGCGAGUGGAGUGGCCGAUGUCAGAUUAGCUAGUCGGUGGGGUAAAGGCCUACCAAGGCAACGAUCUGUAGCUGGUCUGAGAGGAUGAUCAGCCACACUGGGACUGAGACACGGCCCAGACUCCUACGGGAGGCAGCAGUGGGGAAUUUUGGACAAUGGGGGCAACCCUGAUCCAGCCAUUCCGCGUGAGUGAAGAAGGCCUUCGGGUUGUAAAGCUCUUUCGGCAGGAACGAAACGGCGAGCUCUAACAUAGCUUGCUAAUGACGGUACCUGAAGAAGAAGCACCGGCUAACUACGUGCCAGCCGCCGCGGUAAGAC